GAUGAACGCUGGCGGCGUGCCUAAUACAUGCAAGUCGAGCGAACAGACGAGGAGCUUGCUCCUUUGACGUUAGCGGCGGACGGGUGAGUAACACGUAGGUAACCUACCUAUAAGACUGGGAUAACUUCGGGAAACCGGAGCUAAUACCGGAUAAUAUUUCGAACCGCAUGGUUCGAUAGUGAAAGAUGGCUUUGCUAUCACUUAUAGAUGGACCUGCGCCGUAUUAGCUAGUUGGUAAGGUACCGGCUUACCAAGGCAACGAUACGUAGCCGACCUGAGAGUGUGAUCGGCCACACUGGGACUGAGACACGGUCCAGACUCCUACGGGAGGCAGCAGUAGGGAAUCUUCCGCAAUGGGCGAAAGCCUGACGGAGCAACGCCGCGUGAGUGAUGAAGGUCUUCGGAUCGUAAAACUCUGUUAUUAGGGAAGAACAAACGUGUAAGUAACUGUGCACGUCUUGACGGUACCUAAUCAGAAAGCCACGGCUAACUACGUG
rnacentral:rRNA from 1 species